rnacentral:rRNA from 1 species
GCGAACGGCGGGCAAACAGGCGGGGAUAUACGGAGGAGGCAAGCGUGAUGCGUGAUUACUGGGCGGAAAGAGGUUCGCAGGAGGGUUGGUAAGCGGGGAGUGAAAGCGUGUGGCGCAACCAUACUCACAUGAUCCGAACUGCUAAGCUAGAGGGAGAGAGAGGUUACUGGAAUUCCCAGUGUAGGAGUGAAAUCCGCAGAUAUUGGGAGGAACACCGAUGGCGUAGGCAGGUAACUGGCUCGUCCCUGACACUAAGGCACGAAAGCGUGGGGAGCAAACGGGAUUAGACCCCGGUAGGUC